ensembl:lncRNA
AUAGUGAAUGCAGAUACUACGUGCGAAAAGUGAAAUUGUUCGACACAGCUUUGUCUUAAGACUUGAGACCAUACCUAUUUGGACUACUUAGCAACAAUUAAAGUUAAGGAUUUGGACACAGUGUUGAAGAUGUACUGUCCAAAAAUCCAUCAGCACUCCUCAAAAAUUGGUGAGGAGUGCUGAUGUUUUUUUUUUUUUAAUUUGCUGGUUUUUGUUUGUGUUGGGAGAGAAGAAAGGCAUCAUCAUUAAGAGAUAUCUUUCAUGAAACUAUUUUGCAUACGUAAUGACCCAAACUCUUAAUGAGCUUAGUGGGAGAAAAACUGCCCCAUUAUACCAUUAGAUCCAUCUUCAAAUCCUUCAUCAAUCUCUUAAUCUCCCUUUAGGUAGAAUGCCAAUUCAACAUGGACCAUGGAAAGCUUGGGUACAAAUGUAUGUUUGCUUCCUUUCUAAGUUUUAGCACGACCUAUAACUUUCAUUUGAAAAUAUUGAUGGAUGAAUUGGAAUUAAUAUAAAAGUGUCUCUUUUUGUUUGGAACACAAACAAAACAGGUAAAACAACUUCAAAUUGGACAAAAGCAUGCGUUUCAAUCAAACCUCAUUGUCUCAUUGGUAAAAAAAACAACCAAUUAUGCCUACAGUCCUCAUUAUCAUCAUCGUCAUCAUUAGGAUCCCAAUUUCCAUCAAUGUCAAAGUUCUAGACCUGGUCAGAGGUAAGUGAUGGUGAGUGAGUGCGUGUUAGUGAGUGAGUGUCUCCAGAAGUGCAUAAAUCACUGAUAAGGAAUCCAAGCAUUCUCCCCAUCUGAAUCUACUGCCAUUUCCUUCUCCAUAAUGUCAAAUUAAAGGGACGUUCAUCAUGCUCUGAAACCCCUCACCCUCAGCCUCACUGUGACACCGAUCCUAGUGGAAUCUAUACUAAAAUAUUCCCUUGUGUCAAAGGGUCGACUAACAAUGUGCUAUUGGUAUAAUAUGGGGACAACAUGUUCAGAGUCCUUCAAGAGUUGAAGAUUAUUUCCUGGCCUGGUUCACAUAAACACACAGCCUACAUACCAUUCACAUUGAACUCAAUGGACGAUAGCGUGGAAAAUGUGAAAUGAAGUGAUGAUUAGCUGUCGCUUAAGCAGGCAGGGAAUGUGGAGCCAUGAAGUCUUCUAGCCGGGUGCAGCCUGGAGGGUCAGCUACAAUUGCUACAUUUAAUAUGGAACAUGAUCCACUGGUCUGCCUGGUGUUUAGGCCUACCUACAGGUUUGCCAUGGCUGCACCAGACAAGGGGAGCUCCUAGUUGGACUCCCUGAAGGAAUGGAAGUCAGUUUGAAGUGGCUUCACGCCGUUCUUUAUUUCACCAUGUGUAUUGGAAAAGAUGGCUUUCUUACUUUAGCUUUAUAAAAAAGUGACAUUGACGGACUAAAUGUCAUGCAUGUGAGGAUUAAGUUUAGUUUCAUCAUUAUCUUAUCUACCAUAUAAGUCUGAUAGAUACGUAACAAAGUUCAUAAUAUGAUUCUGCAGAGAUUCAGUAUGCUUCCCCGGCUGUGUUGGUUCUUCCUGAGCGUUGUGAUGGGAUAGGUAACUCGAGUGAGUUUCAUGAAGAGACACAAGGAAUAGAGCAGGGAUGGAAACUAAAGAAUAUUAACAUGAGAAAAAAUUGUUUUGUAUGCGUUUUCCUUGAGCGAGAAUAAAGCUUUUUGAAUUACGUAUUUUAAGAGCUACAGGGUUCUUUGUUAAACGUCGUAUUCGGUUCUUAGCGUGGGAUGGGUUCUUAUUGUUCCAUUGCUUCUCAAGGGCCUAUUUCACGAGCCAGAGGCUUUCAGGGGACGCCUCUGCACUGGUGAUGUCGUGAGAGACAUAUGAUGCAUCUGAAUACUCAUACUUGACUGCUAUAUAGUAGGCAUUUUGUAGUACGUCACAAAUAUAGCGCGUCCGAAUGCUCCGUACGCAUUGUGUAGUAGGUAAACAGUUUCCGAAUGCAUACUACUGCCACAGUAUACAACGGUAGGUCACUACGCUAUCCCACAAUUCAGCCGGAGUCUGGUAACCGAAGAAGAAAAAACGGUAGAUUAUCGCGGGUGACUUAGGACAUGAUCUCCAAACAUCCGGUGGCGUUUCGGUGGUGUUCGGAAGCGUUCGGAGGUGUUCUACGCAUAGCUGUAGAACGUACUACAUUAACGGUCAAGUAGUAGACACUGCACAGAAAUAGUAUACUUAGUAUUCGGAUGCACCCAUGGCUACUCUUGGGCGGGGAUGAUCUGUAAAUUAUUAAUGCUAUGAAGAGCCUUUCCUAUCGGCCGUGGUUCCAAAGAAUGACACUCUUUUCCAAGAUGAGGGCAACAGACAGCUGGCAACAUACUUCGCUAAUUAUAAGACAAACUAUACACACAGUCACAGACAUACAGGAUUUCUUUCUCUUGUGUUUUCUUUCUAUCCAAGUCCCC